rnacentral:rRNA from 1 species
GAACUUUCCAGAGAUGGAUUGGUGCCUUCGGGAACUGUGAGACAGGUGCUGCAUGGCUGUCGUCAGCUCGUGUUGUGAAAUGUUGGGUUAAGUCCCGCAACGAGCGCAACCCUUAUCCUUUGUUGCCAGCGGUCCGGCCGGGAACUCAAAGGAGACUGCCAGUGAUAAACUGGAGGAAGGUGGGGAUGACGUCAAGUCAUCAUGGCCCUUACGACCAGGGCUACACACGUGCUACAAUGGCGCAUACAAAGAGAAGCGACCUCGCGAGAGCAAGCGGACCUCAUAAAGUGCGUCGUAGUCCGGAUUGGAGUCUGCAACUCGA